rnacentral:rRNA from 1 species
ACACACAGCCAUAUCACCCUGCAGCCCAAGAUCGGUUACUCACUGAAGCUAAGCAGGGCUGAGCCUGGUCAGUACCUGGAUGGGAGACCACUAGGGAACACUAGGUUGCUGUUGGAA